UACGGAGGGUGCAAGCGUUAUCCGGAUUCACUGGGUUUAAAGGGUGCGUAGGCGGGCAUGUAAGUCAGUGGUGAAAUCUUCAAGCUUAACUUGGAAACUGCCAUUGAUACUAUGUGUCUUGAAUGUUCUGGAGGUUAGCGGAAUAUGUCACGUAGCGGUGAAAUGCUUAGAUAUGACAUAGAACACCUAUUGCGAAGGCAGCUAACUACGGAAAUAUUGACGCUGAGGCACGAAAGCGUGGGGAUCAAACAGG
rnacentral:rRNA from 1 species